rnacentral:rRNA from 1 species
UACGAAGGGAGCUAGCGUUGUUCGGAAUCACUGGGCGUAAAGCGCACGUAGGCGGAUUUGCCAGUCAGGGGUGAAAUCCCGGGGCUCAACCUCGGAACUGCCUUUGAUACAGCAAGUCUUGAGUUCGAGAGAGGUGGGUGGAAUUCCUAGUGUAGAGGUGAAAUUCGUAGAUAUUAGGAAGAACACCGGUGGCGAAGGCGGCCCACUGGCGU